rnacentral:rRNA from 1 species
UACGAAGGGGGCUAGCGUUGCUCGGAAUCACUGGGCGUAAAGCGCACGUAGGCGGGUUCUUAAGUCAGGGGUGAAAUCCUGGAGCUCAACUCCAGAACUGCCUUUGAUACUGGGAAUCUCGAGUCCGGGAGAGGUGAGUGGAACUGCGAGUGUAGAGGUGAAAUUCGUAGAUAUUCGCAAGAACACCAGUGGCGAAGGCGGCUCACUGGCCCAGUACUGACGCUGAGGUGCGAAAGCGUGGGGAGCAAACAGG